AAGUCGGAAUCCGCUAAGGAAUGUUUAACAACUCACCUGCCGAAUGAAUCAGCCUUGAAAAUGGAUGGCGCUCAAGCGAUACACCCAUACUCAACCGUUCACGUUGAUUUAUGUUGCGUGAACGAGUAGGCAGGCGUAAAGGUUUUGUGAUAAAGCCUAGGCAGUGAUGCCGGGUAGAACAGCCUUUAGUGCAGAUCUUGGUGGAAGUAGCAAAUAUUCAAGUGAGAACCUUGAAGACUGAAGUGGGGAAGGGUUCCAUGCAAACAGCAAUUGAACAUGGGUUAGUCGGUCCUAAGAGAUAGGGAAACUCCGUUUUAAAGCGCUUGCUUGUUCAAGCCGUCUAUCGAAAGGGAAUGCGGUUAAGAUUCCGCAACCAGGAUGCAGAUUUUGAGCGGUAACGCAAAUGAACUUGGAGACGCCAGCGGGAGCCCCGGGAAGAGUUAUCUUUUCUCCUUAACAGUUUCAUACCACCCUGGAAUCGGAUUAUCCGGAGAUAGGGUAGUCUGACUGGUAGAGCCUUGCAACUUUGUAGGGUCCGGUGCGCUUCUGAUGGUCCUUGAAAAUCCGAGGGAAUGAAAUAGUCUUGCACCUGAUCGUACCCAUAUCCGCAUCAGGUCCCCAAGGUGAUCAGCCUCUAGUCCAUAGAAUAAUGUAGAUAAGGGAAGUCGGCAA
rnacentral:rRNA from 1 species